rnacentral:rRNA from 1 species
UUAAACACACAGCAACCUACGUACAUCAAGUUGAUUGGACUGGGUGAACUUCUCAAGACUCCCGGCAUGAGAAUGAGACGUCUACUGUGCCAGGCCAUCGCUUAUUCAUAUGAUACAGAGCAUGAUGCCUUUAUAAUUAAUGGGAGACCAUGUAGGAUCACACUAAAAGAUGUGGAGCAUAUAACAGGCCCGCCCUGCAUGGGGAAGAAUCACGUCUCUUCAAAUCACAAUACUUUGGAGUUGUGGAAGGAACUAAAAGACCCCAAUGACACAAAAGUAACUUUGAAAGGAUUGCUAGCCAAGAUGAAAGGCGACAACACACCUAAUUUUGUCAGGCCAUUUGUCUUGUACACCAUAGGCAAAUAUGGAUGCUCGGCAACACAACAGUAUGUGGACAACAGAUACCUUGGGAUUGUUAGAAAUGUUGAGACAAUAAAGAGCACCAAUCUUGGACACCUUACGCUUGACCAUCUUACGGCUAGCGUCAGGAAAUUUGUAAAUGGUGGAGCAAAUCUGGAGGGCAACCUACCACUCCUGCAGGUAAUACAAUCAUUA